UACAGAGGGUGCAAGCGUUAAUCGGAGUUACUGGGCGUAAAGGGCGCGUAGGUGGAUAUUUAAGUCGGAUGUGAAAUCCCUGGGCUUAACCUAGGAAUUGCAUUCGAUACUGGAUAUCUAGAGUAUGGUAGAGGAAAGUGGAAUUCCCGGUGUAGCGGUGAAAUGCGUAGAUAUCGGGAAGAACAUCAAGGCGAAGGCAACUUUCUGGACCAAUACUGACGCUGAGGCGCGAAAGCGUGGGGAGCAAACA
rnacentral:rRNA from 1 species